rnacentral:rRNA from 1 species
UACGUAGGGUGCGAGCGUUAAUCGGAAUUACUGGGCGUAAAGCGUGCGCAGGCGGUUUUGUAAGCCAGAUGUGAAAUCCCCGGGCUUAACCUGGGAAUGGCAUUUGGGACUGCAAAGCUUGAGUGUGGCAGAGGGGACUGGAAUUCCUGGUGUAGCAGUGAAAUGCGUAGAGAUCAGGAGGAAUACCGAUGGCGAAGGCAGGUCUCUGGGCCGAUACUGACGCUGAGGAGCGAAAGCGUGGGGAGCGAACAGG